rnacentral:rRNA from 1 species
ACUUAAGCAUUAUCAAUAAGCGGAGGAAAAGAAACCAACAGGGAUUGCUCAGUAACGGCGAGUGAAGCGGCACAAGCUCAGAUUUGAAAUCCGGCCUCUGGGUCUGAAUUGUAAUCUGUAGAGGAACGUUCGGUUGCGGAGUCGGUCCAAGUUUCCUGGAACGGAACGUCGCAGAGGGUGAGAACCCCGUACGCGGUCGACAUCCAAGGCCAUGUGAACGUCCUUCGACGAGUCGAGUUGUUUGGGAAUGCAGCUCUAAUCGGGUGGUAAAUUCCAUCUAAAGCUAAAUAUUGGCCAGAGACCGAUAGCGCACAAGUAGAGUGAUCGAAAGAUGAAAAGCACUUUGGAAAGAGAGUUAAACAGUACGUGAAAUUGUUGAAAGGGAAGCGCUUGCGACCAGACUCGUGUGCGGAUGCUCAGCCGGUCAUUUGGCCGGUGCACUCAUCCGUAGCCGGGCCAGCAUCGGUUCGGGCGGCCGGACAAAGGCGACGGGAACGUGGCCCUCUUCGGAGGGUGUUAUAGCCCGACGCACAAUACGGCCAGCCUGGACCGAGGAACGCGCAUUGCUAGGAUGCUGGCGUAAUGGUUGCAAGCGGCCCGUCUUGAAACACGGACCAAGGAGUCUAACAUCCGUGCGAGUGUUAGGGUGUCAAACCCUCAUCGCGUAAUGAAAGUGAACGGAGGUGGGAGCUUCGGCGCACCAUCGACCGAUCCGGAGGCUUGCCGAUGGAUUUGAGUAAGAGCACGGCUGUUGGGACCCGAAAGAUGGUGAACUAUGCGUGAAUAGGGUGAAGCCAGAGGAAACUCUGGUGGAGGCUCGCAGCGGUUCUGACGUGCAAAUCCGAUCGUCAAAUUUGCGUAUAGGAGCGAGAGACUAUCAUAACG